CGGCGUAACGACGUAUGUAACCUACCUUUACCAGGGGGAUAGCCUCUCGAAAGAGAGAUUAAGACCGCAUAAAAUGAAGACACAGCAUUGUGAUUUCAUCAAAUAUUUAUAGGGUAAAGAUGGGCAUGCGGAACAUUAGCUAGUUGGUAAGGUAAUGGCUUACCAAGGCUACGAUGUUUAGGGGAUCUGAGAGGAUGACCCCCCACACUGGUACUGAGACACGGACCAG
rnacentral:rRNA from 1 species